rnacentral:rRNA from 1 species
UUGCGCCGAAGAUAAACGGGGCUAAACCUGAUACCGAAGCUUGGGAACUGCAUAGCAGUUGGUAGAGGAGCAUCGCGUACGGGCAGAAGCUGAGUCGUAAGGCUUGGUGGACUGUACGGGAGAGAGAAUGUUGGCAUGAGUAGCGAGAUGUGGGUGAGAAUCCCAUAGGCCGUAAACCCAAGGUUUCCAGGGGACGGUUCGUCC